rnacentral:tRNA from 1 species
GGCGUCGUACCCAAGUGGUUCAAGGGGGCGGUUUGCAAAACCGUUAUUCACCGGUUCGAAUCCGGUCGACGCCUCCA